UGUUCUGUGGCGAAGUUGGUUAACGCACACUGUCUAGUGAAUUGGGAAGACGUGAGUUCCAAUCUCACCAGAACUA
rnacentral:tRNA from 1 species